AUUGAACGCUGGCGGCAUGCCUAACACAUGCAAGUCGAGCGUGCGGCGGACGGGUGAGUCAUGUCUGUGAACCUGCCUGAUGGAGGGGGAUAACUACUGGCCACGGUAGCUAAUACCGCAUCCCCUCCGAUCUGCCCAGAUGGGAUUAGCUAGUAGGUGGGGUAACGGCCCACCUGGGCGACGAUCCCUAGCUGGUCUGAGAGGAUGACCCGAGAAAUGGGAACUGAGACACGGUCCAGAGUCCUACGGGAGGGAGCAGUGGGGAAUAGUGGACAAUGGGCGCAAGCCUGAUGCAGCCAGGCCGCGUGUGUGAAGAAGGCCGUCGGGUGGUAAAGCACUUUCAGCGGGGAGGCGUUACCCGCAGAAGAAGCACCGGCUAACUCCGUGCCAGCAGCCGCGGUAAUUC
rnacentral:rRNA from 1 species